AAUUCAGCUUUGUCUUAUCUAAAGCCCCUCGCACAAAGCCUUCGACGUUCGACUUCAGCCAAACCAGCCAACGCUCUCUCUCUUUCAUCACGGCAAGCUCAGCACAAUCUUUUUCUUUCUUCCGUCGUUUCAUUCAUACAUACUUGCGUUGCAUAUAUAUACUUUUCAGAUAUUUCGUAUUUGUUUGGUUUGCUAACUGAAAGCUAGUUCUAUUCAGAUUCAAAUCGACACGAAAGAAGUAAAUGAAGAUGAUAAAGCUACGCCGUAUGAGGAAGCACUAGAUGCUUUAUCUUCUCUCAUCACGAAACGCAAUCGUGCUAAUCCAGGCGAUAGAUUUUAUUCGCUCGAACUCGUUCGCGAGUAUGUCAAGAUGUUGGACUUAGAGGAAGCAAUUUAAAAAAUGAGUAUCAUUCAUGUUGCUGGCACUAAGGGAAAGCUUACAGGUCGAGAAUUGAGAGCAAUCUUAAAAUUUUGGCUUUCCUGAAGUAAUAAAUCUUUUUUGGAAUCUUGCUUUAUGUUUAUUUAGUUUAGUAAAGCAUUAAGAAUCAGAGAAUGCUCGUCGAAAGUUUGUACAAAUAUUAAUUGGAAAGCCUGUAUUAAAAUAUUUUUUGAUUAGUUAUAAUCAUAAAUUAUCAGUUCUGUAAAUGGUUAAGUGAAGAAUACAACUAUAUUAGUGACUCAUUGAUGGAGAAUCUUUCUUUUUAAUUUGCUUAUGAUUUGCCUCUGUUUUUGUUGUUUUCUGAAAUUCU